rnacentral:rRNA from 1 species
UGGGCUACACACGUGCUACAAUGGACGGUACAAAGAGCUGCAAGACCGCGAGGUGGAGCUAAUCUCAUAAAACCGUUCUCAGUUCGGAUUGUAGGCUGCAACUCGCCUACAUGAAGCUGGAAUCGCUAGUAAUCGCGGAUCAGCAUGCCGCGGUGAAUACGUUCCCGGGCCUUGUACACACCGCCCGUCACACCACGAGAGUUUGUAACACCCGAAGUCGGUGGGGUAACCUUUUUGGAGCCAGCCGCCUAAGGUGGGACAGAUGAUUGGGGUGAAGUCGUAACAAGGUAGCCGUAUCGGAAGGUGCGGUUGGAUCACCUCC